UACGAGAGGCCCAAACGUUAUUCGGAUUUACUGGGCUUAAAGAGUUCGUAGGCGGUCCAGAAAGUUGGGUGUGAAAGCCCUCGGCUCAACCGAGGAAUUGCGCUCAAAACUACUGGACUUGAGGGAGAUAGAGGUGAGCGGAACUGAUGGUGGAGCGGUGAAAUGCGUUGAAAUCAUCAGGAACACCGGAGGCGAAGGCGGCUCACUGGGUCUUUUCUGACGCUGAGGAACGAAAGCUAGGGGAGCAAACGGG
rnacentral:rRNA from 1 species